rnacentral:rRNA from 1 species
GGGACACGUGGUAUCCUGUCUGAAUAUGGGGGGACCAUCCUCCAAGGCUAAAUACUCCUGACUGACCGAUAGUGAACCAGUACCGUGAGGGAAAGGCGAAAAGAACCCCGGCGAGGGGAGUGAAAAAGAACCUGAAACCGUGUACGUACAAGCAGUGGGAGCCUCUUAAUGAGGUGACUGCGUACCUUUUGUAUAAUGGGUCAGCGACUUAUAUUCUGUAGCAAGGUUAACCGAAUAGGGGAGCCGAAGGGAAACCGAGUCUUAACUGGGCGUUAAGUUGCAGGGUAUAGACCCGAAACCCGGUGAUCUAGCCAUGGGCAGGUUGAAGGUUGGGUAACACUAACUGGAGGACCGAACCGACUAAUGUUGAAAAAUUAGCGGAUGACUUGUGGCUGGGGGUGAAAGGCCAAUCAAACCGGGAGAUAGCUGGUUCUCCCCGAAAGCUAUUUAGGUAGCGCCUCGUGAAUUCAUCUCCGGGGGUAGAGCACUGUUUCGGCAAGGGGGUCAUCCCGACUUACCAACCCGAUGCAAACUGCGAAUACCGGAGAAUGUUAUCACGGGAGACACACGGCGGGUGCUAACGUCCGUCGUGAAGAGGGAAACAACCCAGACCGCCAGCUAAGGUCCCAAAGUCAUGGUUAAGUGGGAAACGAUGUGGGAAGGCCCAGACAGCCAGGAUGUUGGCUUAGAAGCAGCCAUCAUUUAAAGAAAGCGUAAUAGCUCACUGGUCGAGUCGGCCUGCGCGGAAGAUGUAACGGGGCUAAACCAUGCACCGAAGCUGCGGCAGCGACACUAUGUGUUGUUGGGUAGGGGAGCGUUCUGUAAGCCUGUGAAGGUGGCCUGUGAGGGUUGCUGGAGGUAUCAGAAGUGCGAAUGCUGACAUAAGUAACGAUAAAGCGGGUGAAAAGCCCGCUCGCCGGAAGACCAAGGGUUCCUGUCCAACGUUAAUCGGGGCAGGGUGAGUCGACCCCUAAGGCGAGGCCGAAAGGCGUAGUCGAUGGGAAACAGGUUAAUAUUCCUGUACUUGGUGUUACUGCGAAGGGGGGACGGAGAAGGCUAUGUUGGCCGGGCGACGGUUGUCCCGGUUUAAGCGUGUAGGCUGGUUUUCCAGGCAAAUCCGGAAAACCAAGGCUGAGGCGUGAUGACGAGGCACUACGGUGCUGAAGCGACAAAUGCCCUGCUUCCAGGAAAAGCCUCUAAGCAUCAGGUAACAUCAAAUCGUACCCCAAACCGACACAGGUGGUCAGGUAGAGAAUACCAAGGCGCUUGAGAGAACUCGGGUGAAGGAACUAGGCAAAAUGGUGCCGUAACUUCGGGAGAAGGCACGCUGAUAUGUAGGUGAAGCGACUUGCUC